rnacentral:rRNA from 1 species
UACAUGUGGGGCAAGCGUUGUUCGGAAUUACUGGGCAUAAAGGGUGCGUAGGCGGCGCGUCAAGUCACUGGUGAAAGUUUGCGGCCCAACUGUAAAAUUGCCGGCGAUACUGGCGUGCUCGAGUGCGUGAGGGGUUGGGGGAACGAGUGGUGUAGCGGUGAAAUGCGUAGAGAUCACUCGGAAGGCCAGAGCCGAAGGGGCCCAACUGGUACGCAACUGACGCUGAGGCACGAAAGCGUGGGGAGCAAACAGG